AGGGAGUGUGUGUGUGUGUGUGUGUGUGUGUGUGAGAGAGAGAGAGUUAGAGAGAGAGGAAGAGGAGAGAGCAGUAGACAGAAUAUUUUUAAGUGUUUUUAAUGAAAAGUUGGAGGAUGUCCCAGGAUGAGAACAAAGAUAUGGUACACCUGCUUGUCAAGAUUCUAACGUUAAUGUCCCACUUCCAGGAACAUGAAAAUGGACUGGUUUCACAUGCAGAUGUUGCAGCAUCUGCAUCUGAUGUUGAGAAGACACUCAAUCUACCUGCCAAUCCUCAUCUGAUUUUGCUGGGUUAGUGUGUCAUUGCACAUGAUGAAGAAGAAACAUUUACUGAUGGCUGAGAUAUAAAAUUGUUAACAUUGCUGUUGUGCACAAUUGUUAAAAUUGCUUCUUUUUUUUCUUUUUUUUUGUGAGUGUCCAGUCAACAUUUUUGACUGCAGUUGCAACAGUGUUUGCUGUGUACUACAUCUUCAACCUGCAGUAUCAAGAGGCUAGAGGUUAGAAUUUUUUCAAAGAUGAUUCUAUGGAAUAAACCCAGAAAGAGGCUCAAAGACCUGCCGAGGCAAGGUAGUCUCCAAGAAGACGGGGAAGGUGGUGAAUAAGAAGUCCACUACAGUCAAUCCAAAGGUUGCCACUCUACAAAAAAAUCGAAUGGACUUCAAAUGGGACUUCAUC